CCUGGGAAUCAUCGGCUUGGGUGUCUCCAUCCUGUUCUGGAUCAUGUUCUGCAUAGCCUGCAGUCGCUAUAGGGAGCAGCAGAUUGAGGAGGAGGUUCUGAGACACAGUGAAAGUGAAGCUCACCAACGGUCCAUUUACUUCAUCCCCUUCCGAGCAGAAGGCAUGUCACAUUCAGACAGCGAAGAUUCACAUGCACCUCCGCGGUACAGCACUGAUGUCUACAAUGGGCCUCCACCGUCAUAUAAUGAGCUGGAUUUUAAGCCUGAUGAUCUGCCACCUGCUUACACAGAACAAGACUUUUCUGUGAAUUUCACAGCACCAAACUCAGUCAUAAUAGACGCACAGCCACCACAGUAAGGCAUCACUGUCACACUGCUGCUGUGUUAAGGUUAUGGACAGUCUUGAUUAUUGCACUGCCUCGUGGACUGAAGUGAACCAGUAACUGCAGUUUAUAAUGUUCUAAAGAUUCUUUUUUAUUGUGAGCUUGUCCUUUUAUUGCGACACCGAAUGUGACGAUGGCACGAAGAGAAAAUGACAGCAGGCUUAAAGCUACGAUGCUGCAAAGAACAAAGAAAACAACAACAACAAAAAAACCCACUUCAGACCUGAAUUUGAUUUUAUUCCUGUGUAUAAUGAUUGUUAAAAUGGGACACAUGCAUAUCAUUUCACUAAUUUGUGUGAAAAUCGCCACCCUGGAGGUUAUAUGUUUGUUCUAGUUUGAUGCAUAUCUCUCUGUUUCUUUACAGGUUUUCAUAAAAUCAGGUUCACAAUA